rnacentral:rRNA from 1 species
AGUUUGAUCAUAGCUCAGAUUGAACGCUGGCGGGAUGCUUUACACAUGCAAGUCGAACGGCAGCACGGACUUCAGUCUGGUGGCGGUGGCGAACGGGUGAGUAAUGUAUCGGAACGUGCCUAGUAGCGGGGAUAACUACGCGGCCGUAGCUAAUACCGCAUACGCCCUUCGGGGGAAAGCGGGGGACCUUCGGGCCUCGCAUAUUGAAACAGCCGAUAUCAGGAUGGCUAGUUGGUGGGGUAACGGCUCACCAGGGCGACAAUCCGUAGCUGGUUUGAAGAGAGGACGACCAGCCACACUGGGACUGAGACACGGCCCAGACUCCUACGGGAGGCAGCAGUGAAAUGCGGACAAUGGAAACCUGAUCCAGCCAUCCGCGUGUGCGAUGAAGGCCUUCGGGGUUGUAAAGCGCUGGCGGGAAAGAAACGGCGGAUAAUGCCCCGUGCAACUGACGACACCUGCAGAAUAAGCAGCCGCUUACGUGCCAGCAGCCGCGGUAAUACGUAGGGUGCAAGCGUUAAUCGGAAUUACUGGGCGUAAAGCGUGCGCAGGCGGUUCGGAAGAAAGAUGUGAAAUCCCAGAGCUUAACUUUGGAACUGCAUUUUUAACUACCGAGCUAGAGUGUGUCAGAGGGAGGUGGAAUUCCGCGUGUAGCAGUGAAAUGCGUAGAUAUGCGGAGGAACACCGAUGGCGAAGGCAGCCUCCUGGGAUAACACUGACGCUCAUGCACGAAAGCGUGGGGAGCAAACAGAGUUAGAUACCCUGGUAGUCCACGCCCUAAACGAUGUCAACUAGCUGUUGGGGCCUUCGGGCAUGGUAGCGCAGCUAACGCGUGGUUGACCGCCUGAAAUACAGUCGCAAGAUUAAAACUCAAAGGAAUUGACGGGGACCCGCACAGCGGUGGUUGAUGUGGAUUAAUUCGAUGCAACGCGAGAAAACCUUACCUAUGACUAUGUCUGGAAUCCGAAGAGAUUUGGGAGUGCUCGCCAAGAGAACCGGAACACAGGUGCUGCAUGGCUGUCGUCAGCUCGUGUCGUGAGAUGUUGGGUUAAGUCCACAACAAAACGCAGCCACUUGUCAUUAGUUGCUACGAAAGGGCACUCUAAUGGGGCCACCGGUGUCGGCGGAGGAAGGUGGGGAUGACGUCAAGUCCUCAUAGCCCUUAUGGGUAGGGCUUCACACGUGCAAUGGUCGGGACAGGGGUCGCCAACCGCGAGGGCUUGUCAGAAACCCGAUCGUAGUCCGGAUCGCAGUCUGCAACUCGACUGCGUGAAGUCGGAAUCGCUAGUAAUCGCGGAUCAGCAUGUCGCGGUGAAUACGUUCCCGGGUCUUGUACACACCCGCCAAUCACCUGUAGAGUGGGUUACCAGAAGUAGUUAGCCUAACCGUAAGGAGGGCGAUUACCACGGUGAUUCAUGACUGGGGUGAAGUCGUAACAA